AUUGAACGCUGGCGGCAGGCCUAACACAUGCAAGUCGAACGAGUGGCGGAAGGGUGAGUAAUGUCUGGGAAACUGCCCGAUGGAGGGGGAUAACUACUGGAAACGGUAGCUAAUACCGCAUAUCAUAGGAUGUGACCAGAUGGGAUUAGCUAGUAGGUGGGGUAACGGCUCUCCUAGGCGACGAUCCCUAGCUGGUCUGAGAGGAUGACCAGCCACACUGGAACUGAGACACGGUCCAGACUCCUACGGGAGGCAGCAGUGGGGAAUAUUGCACAAUGGGCGCAAGCCUGAUGCAGCCAUGCCGCGUGUAUGAAGAAGGCCUUCGGGUUGUAAAGUACUUUCAGCGAGGAGGCGUUACUCGCAGAAGAAGCACCGGCUAACUCCGUGCCAGCAGCCGCGGUAAUUC
rnacentral:rRNA from 1 species